GCUAGUGUAAGCGCAUUUGAGAGACGGUUUUUGAUGAGAGAGACGUGAGGUUGAGAGAGCAAUUUUGGGAGUGAGGUUGAGAGAGCGAUUUUGUGAGUGAGAUUGAGAGGGAUUGAGGACGAUGAAUAGGUUCUGUUACAGUACCUCUCACCAUUUUCUUUUUAUUUUUUUAUUUUUUUUAUUUUUUAAACAGAGUAAACAUUGAAACCAUUAAAAAUUUUAUGUUUAAUAUUCCCAUGUUUAUUUAAUGGUAUUUUUAGUUAAUACUGUACAUUAACAUAUCAUUUUUGGUAUUCCCAAUCCAUUAACCUCUAGAAUCCAACAGCCAGGCGGCUGGGUUUUUUUUGGUAAUCCAACAUACCUUUUUUAUUAUUAUUUUAGUUUUUGUUUUUUU
rnacentral:lncRNA from 1 species